rnacentral:tRNA from 1 species
GCGGAAGUGGCGGAACUGGCAGACGCGCAGGAUUUAGGUUCCUGUGCCUUCUCGGCGUGGGGGUUCGAGUCCCCCCUUCCGCACCA